AAGUGGAUUCUUUGGCAGAUUGGCCAUCAGAACAGAGACUAAUACCUGGAAAAGGUGUCCUCCCUCCUCAAAGUUAAAAAUCUUUGCUGUGUGGAGUUUAAAACUAUUUCUAAGACUUCUGUGAAUCUUAAAGUACAAUAUUUUUAGGGUUUCUUGCCUUUAGUUACCCCAGAUUGGAAGCCUAUCCCCCACGGGCGUGAAGACUGUUAGAGGUUGAGGCAGAGUGGAGAACAGAUCCGGUCCUGCACCCUUGACUCCUUUCCCGGAGGAGUGGGCGGCAGCUGCUGGUGGGGAAGGCAGCGUUGCGGAUCUUUGCUGGGUGGACCUUGCUGUACCUGCCGUGUUUUUUCCAGAUGUGACCAUUGAGCUGCCUGUGUAAGAAGAGAAGGGAUGCCUGUUAAAAUGUGGGUUCCUUGGACCCUUCUCAGGUCUGCACAUUCAGAACUAAGUUCCCUAGGUGAUUCUUAAGAAAUCUUUUAUUAAGGUAUAAUUUACAUGUAAAAUUCACCCUUUUUGUUUAGUAGUUACCAAUGCAUACAGUUGAGUAGCCUCCCCCAGAAGACACAGAACACUUGCUUCGCCCAACAAUUUUCCACAUGUAAUAUCACAUAUUAAGUUUUGAGAACGACUUAGCUUAGGGAAAAGAAAAACUUGAGGAGGCGCCUGGGUAGCUUAGUCGGUUAAGUGUCCGACUUCAGCUCAGAUCAUGGCCUCGUGGUUUGUGAGUUCGAGCCCCCUGUCUGGUUCUGUGCCGACAGUUUGGAGCCUGCUUCUGAUUCUGUGUCUCCCAGUCUCUGCCCCACCCCCGCUCGCACUCGGUCUCUAAAUAAAUAAAUAAGCAAAGAAACGUUUAAAAAAGAAUGGGCCAGGAGAAAAAGGGGAAGAGGGAUUAUUUCGAAUGAUCUCUGUUUCACAGAGGUUUAGACCCUGGCAUAGCACAGGAGUAUCUUCUCUGACAGCCCAGAAUGACUGAUGGCAGCCUGGGGGCAGGGCUGUAGAGGGAUGGGCAGAAUAAUCCAGAAGUGAUGUGCAGGGGGUGGGUGCCGGGAAGCAUGCGGUCCUUGACUAACUGUGUGUACAGGAGUUUUCAAACCACGAUCCAGUGUGGAUUCAGGACUUCCUUUCCAGGACUGACCAGUCCCGUGUAAAGAGAAGUAUCUCACCUUCUAUGUCAGUGAGUUGGUGUCAUUACUGAGAAACUUCUCCGCCCUACAUCCAAUGACAUCUUUGAGGAAAUCAGAAAGAGGAAGUGACUCAGAAGUGGAAAGUAAGGAAAAGAGAAGAUGACAUGGUGACAAGCAUUCGCCAGCCACUGAUUUUCUGCUGCCCUCUCAAUCCUGAGGAGGUAGCACAGCAUUUCCUUGCCCUGCCCUUGACACGCCAGGCCUGUUUUCAACUAGACUCAGGGACUGUGAAAGAAAACCUAAGGAAGCCCCCUGCUAGAGCCUCGAGGAAAAGCUGACCGGAUUCCCUCUUUACCCUCGGCCGAACCUUCCACAAGUAUCCUUGUCUGCUCUGCUCUCCGGGGCCAUCACAGAGGGCAUGGCUGGCUGACAGCCUCAAACCCCAGGC
rnacentral:lncRNA from 1 species